GACGAACGCUGGCGGCGUGCUUAACACAUGCAAGUCGAACGGAAAGGCCCUGCUUUUGUGUGGUUCUCGCGUGGCGAACGGGUGAGUAACCCGUGAGUAACCUUCCCUUUACUUUGGGAUAACUUCAGGCAACUGGGGCUAAUACCGGAUAGGAGCUCCUGCUGCAUGGUGGGCGUUGGAAAUUUUCGGCGGUUGUGGAUGGACUCGCGGCUUAUCAGCUUGUUGGUGGGGUAGUGGCUUACCAAGGCUUUGAAGGGUAGCCGGCAUGAGAGGGUGGACGGGCACAAUGGGACUGAGAUACGGACCAGACUCCUACGGGAGGCAGCAGUGGGGAAUAUUGCACAAUGGGGGGAAGCGUGAGGAAGAAACGCUGCGUGUGGGAUGAAGGCCUUCGGGUUGUAAACCGCAUUAGCCUGUGACGAAGCGGGAGUGACGGUAAUGGGUAAAGAAGCACCGGCUAACUACGUG
rnacentral:rRNA from 1 species